AGAGUUUGAUCCUGGCUCAGGAUUAACGCUAGCGGCAGGCCUAAUACAUGCAAGUCGAGGGGCAGCAUUGUCUUCGGACAGAUGGCGACCGGCGAACGGGUGCGUAACACGUAUGCAACCUACCUUUUACUGGAGCAUAGCCCGAAGAAAUUCGGAUUAAUACUCCAUAAUACAGGGGGCCCACAUGGGUCUAUUUGUUAAAGCUCUUUUGCGGUAGAAGAUGGGCAUGCGGCCCAUUAGCUUGUUGGUAAGGUAACGGCUUACCAAGGCUACGAUGGGUAGGGGGUCUGAGAGGACGGCCCCCCACAUUGGUACUGAGAUACGGACCAGACUCCUACGGGAGGCAGCAGCUAAGAAUCUUCCGCAAUGGACGAAAGUCUGACGGAGCGACGCCGCGUGGGUGAUGAAGGCCGUGAGGUUGUAAAGCCCUUUUCUGCCUGAGGAAUAAGGUUUGGAGGAAAUGCCAAACUGAUGACGGUAGGGCAGGAAUAAGCCCCGGCUAAUUACGUGCCAGCAGCCGCGGUAACACGUAUGGGGCGAGCGUUGUUCGGAAUUAUUGGGCGUAAAGAGCGCGUAGGCGGAUAUAUAUGUCCGGUGUGAAAUAUUACAGCUUCACUGUAAUGCUGCGCUGGAAACGAUAUGUCUUGAGUACUUGAGGGGGAACUGGAAUUCCUGGUGUAAGGGUGAAAUCUGUAGAUAUCAGGAAGAACACCAGAGGCGAAGGCGAGUUCCUGGCAAGAGACUGACGCUGAUGCGCGAAAGCGUGGGUAGCAAACAGGAUUAGAUACCCUGGUAGUCCACGCUGUAAACGAUGUGCACUAGGUGUUGGGGUGAUAUACCUCAUUACCGGAGCUAACGCGGUAAGUGCACCGCCUGGGGAGUAUGCCGGCAACGGUGAAACUCAAAGGAAUUGACGG
rnacentral:rRNA from 1 species